rnacentral:lncRNA from 1 species
CAAUUUGAGAGCAAUAUCAUAAUAAAUAUAACAAAUACUUCUUUAAAUAAAUUAAAUAAAUAAUUGUAAAGGUAAAAAAGAACAUAGAAACUGUGUAAACCAUAAAAUUUUCAAAUUUUUUCGAUGAAAAAUAAGAGAUGAAGCUUUAUAAAUUUCUUUAUAUCAAUUAGACUUAAUUAUAAACACUACUGGCCUGAGACUGCAGACUGCCAGCAGCAAAAGAUUUUUAUAAACUGUAUUAGUGUAUGAUAAACUGUUACUGCUCUUGAUGCUUUGGGUUAAUUUCUUAUGGGCUAAUAUAUAUUUGAAUAAGUAUAUUAUUUUUAUUAUUUGUUUCUGUUAAAAUAUUGUGUUAAUUUUCUGUAUGCAAAAAUUUCACAAGUUAUUUUGAUUCAUGUUUCUCUGUGGCAAGGAGGUUUGUGUACUUCAAUGAUUUUUCUGGGUUAUUGGUAGUUCAAAUUUUUCCAUGUGUCCUGAAGUUGAAAAACAGUGUCUAGAAUUAUCUGAAGUCUUUGAAAGGACAGUUCCUUUACCAAACUUUACUACUGAUUAUUUGGAUGACUACCAGCAUGAUGAAUUUUCCAUCUUAAUUUUCAAAAUAUAAAGAAUAAUCAACUAGGUUGUUUAACACGAUACAGCUUUUAAUUAGGAUAAUGAACAGAAUAUGUAAAUUGGAUGUGUGAAAUGUGAAUAGAAGAGUUAAAGAAAAUGAAAGAGACUUCAUGAAUGAGAUAUCUAAGUAUAGACUGGAUGUGCUGUAUUGUUGAGACAGCCAAUAAAGAUGUGCAUUUGAAUGUGUAGGUGAUAGUGAAUCUGAAUGAUAAAGGUGUUGUUGAAUGAAAAAAUGAAUGUCAGAAUACAAAUAUUUGAAUUACAAAGUGUAGAUGAGAAUUAAGCUUCCUGCAAAGAAUAUUUUAUGGUUUAUGUAUGGUUCUAUUGCAAAAGCACAAAUGUUUGAAACUAAUAAUAAAUUUAGUCAAAUAAAUAAUAAAUUAAUAAAUUUCAUGGUCAUGAAUUUGCAAAAUUUCCAGCCUUUAGCCUGGCUAGGCUUUCAAAUUAUUAGAAAUAAUAACUAUUCCAACACUAAAUAAUACACCUAACAAUCAGAAAUUCACAAUUGUUAAAAGAAAUCAUGAACACAUGUUAGAAAAAAAAAAUGCUUAAGAG